CACGAACGCUGGCGGCAGGCUUAACACAUGCAAGUCGAGCGCCCCGCAAGGGGAGCGGCAGACGGGUGAGUAACGCGUGGGAAUCUACCCAUCUCUACGGAAUAACGCAAGGAAACGUGUGCUAAUACCGUAUACGUCCUUAGGGAGAAGGAUUUAUCGGAGAUGGAUGAGCCCGCGUUGGAUUAACUAGUUGGUGGGGUAAAGGCCUACCAAGGGGACGAUCCAUAGAUGGUCUGAGAGGAUGAUCAGCCACACUGGGACUGAGACACGGCCCAGACUCCUACGGGAUGCAGCAGUGGGGAAUAUUGGACAAUGGGCGCAAGCCUGAUCCAGCCAUGCCGCGUGAGUGAUGAAGGCCCUAGGGUUGUAAGGCUCUUUCACCGGUGAAGAUAAUGACGGUAACCGGAGAAGAAGCCCCGGCUAACUUCGUGCCAGCAGCCGCGGUAA
rnacentral:rRNA from 1 species